rnacentral:tRNA from 1 species
GGCGGCGUGACCGAGUGGCUUAGGUAGCGGCCUGCAAAGCCGCGUACGCCGGUUCGAUUCCGGCCGCCGCCU